rnacentral:lncRNA from 1 species
CCUGAAUAUAUCCAUAUUUUUGCAAAGUUUGUGAAAUGGAAAUAAUUUCAGAUUUUUUGUCUCUGUCCUGUUACAGUGACGACUGUGUAAUGAUGGAGAAAGCAGCAAUCCCAAUGACUCUUCCAUUACACAAUGAAGUCAGUCUCCAAUGGCUGAAAGCACUUGCAGGACUACGCUGUGCUUAAAAAGACGUGUCUAUUCAGGAAGUUGAUACUGUUGGAGCAAAUGCAGCAGCCAUUGCUGCUGACCAUGUUUUGUGGAGUACUCUGCGCUGCUCACAAGGAGCAAAGCAUCCCCUGUAGGGUUGAAACACCGCCUGGUCCAGGAUGUCUUUGCCCUCCUGGGUAACAGAAGUGCUGGCUGUGAAGAGGAUACUCCUUCAUCGAGGUUUCUAGUGAGCCUGCUCCCUUAUGAUCAGAACAUCUUUUGUUUCAUAUUCUGGCUUUUAUUUUUAGCUGCUCUGCUAUGAAAUCUGUCUCACUUAAAUAGAUCUCACUCUGUUUCCUCUGGUGCUUCUGGCAUCAAGUCAAUAAACUUAUUAGAGAAGUCUCUAGAGGAUUUCA